CGCACAUUGCGCCCUCUGGUAUUCCGGGGGGCAUGCCUGUUCGAGCGUCAUUAUCACACUCAAGCUCUUUUUGCUUGGUAUUGGGGGCCUAGCUUUCUCCUCUAGGGGAGAAGGCUUCCCCCGAAAAUCAGCGGCGGUGCGGCCGGUUAACCCUCCAGCGCAGUGGCUUUUACGUUUCAACGCUGUAGUAGGGCCGGUAUUGCUCCUGCCGGGCAACAACCAACUAUUUUCUAAUGAUUGACCUCGGAUCAGGUAGGGAUACCCGCUGAACUUAA
rnacentral:misc_RNA from 1 species